UACGAAGGGGGCUAGCGUUGCUCGGAAUCACUGGGCGUAAAGCGCACGUAGGCGGAUUCCUAAGUCGGUGGUGAAAUCCUGGAGCUCAACUCCAGAACUGCCUCCGAUACUGAGAGUCUCCGAGUCCGGGAGAGGUGAGUGGAACUGCGAGUGUAGAGGUGAAAUUCGUAGAUAUUCGCAAGAACACCAGUGGCGAAGGCGGCUCACUGGCCCGGUACUGACGCUGAGGUGCGAAAGCGUGGGAAGCAAACAGG
rnacentral:rRNA from 1 species